CUGAGUUUGUAUAACGUGGUGGUU
rnacentral:siRNA from 1 species